GGAUACAUGGCUGAGUGGUCUAAAGCAGCACCUUGCUAAGGUGUCGGUCCGAAAGGUCCCGUAGGUUCGAAUCCUACUGUGUCCGCCA
rnacentral:tRNA from 1 species